AGAUGCUGUCAGGCUUCUGAAGUGGUGUGGUGUUACUCUGUAUGGGUAUCAAACUUCACUAUAGCAGAUACUGACUGCUAGAACCAUAUUUUGUUACCCUUGUGGAAGAGCAUCAAGAUCCUUGUUGUCCUUAAUUUUAAAGUGCUUAAAACUUUAUCCUCCAAGUUCAUCACACUUGAAGAGCACAUUCAACAGGUGACAAUUAUGAACAACUCAAGCUGUGCCAGCUGAAAUGAAGACUGAGAUAUUUCAGAUGCAUCUUGCAUUUAAACUUUGCUAGAAAUAGAAAUACCAAGAAGAACCAGCUGGGAUGUAUGACCUGUACAUCAGACAUGCCUUGUGGACUUAAGAUUUUUUUCUACAAGACCUGCAUUUAAUUUUCUUUUACUUUGACUUAACUUGUCCAUCUCUGUCAAAUCUGUCUACCCAUUUGACAUAACCUUGUCUCUGAUGUAUUGAAGGAGCAGACACUGCAGGAGAUGAUGAGAGUUCCAGCCUAUUCCCUUAAUGCAUAUCACAUUAAAACUCAAGAACUCUUGGGAAGCUGCUGAAACUACAUGCUUGUCCAUGCUGGAUCAGAGAGCAUAUGCAAUUUCCUGGCAUUGCUCACUCCUUCAAAAGAGCAGCACCAUUUUCUACUGACAACAGGCUAGGCAUCUUUUGCUACUCCAUUAUUAGUUCAUACAAAUUGAAGGCUUCAGAGUAAAUUGGUAACUGUAAAUUUUAAAAAAAUCUUAAGCAUAUUGUGUAAUAGUACCAACAGAAAUAAAAUGCUAGGCAUUUUUGUGAAUUUAUUUGUACAAAAGAAAUUGCAACUUGAACCUUAUCUUUUCAAAAAUAUUUUUAAGAAAUCAGUUAAUUGCCCAUUGAUCAUAUCCCAUUAUUUUUCAGUUUUAUGGAGCUUGUAAUCUGUCUCUAAUAAAAACUGUGUUCAUAGAAGCUGAAAAAUGUCUAGAGAGUUUUUAUCUCAGAUCAAAUAGGAGGAAGAAUAU